GCCUACGGGAGGCAGCAGUGGGGAAUUUUCCGCAAUGGGCGAAAGCCUGACGGAGCAAUACCGCGUGAGGGAUGACGGCCUAUGGGUUGUAAACCUCUUUUUUCAGGGAGGAAUCAAUGACGUGUACCUGAAGAAUAAGCAUCGGCUAACUCCGUGCCAGCAGCCGCGGUAAGACGGAGGAUGCAAGUGUUAUCCGGAAUCACUGGGCGUAAAGCGUCUGUAGGUGGUUUAAUAAGUCAACUGUUAAAUCUUGAGGCUCAACCUCAAAAUCGCAGUCGAAACUAUUAGACUAGAGUAUAGUAGGGGUAAAGGGAAUUUCCAGUGGAGCGGUGAAAUGCGUAGAUAUUGGAAGGAACACCGAUGGCGAAGGCACUUUACUGGGCUAUUACUAACACUCAGAGACGAAAGCUAGGGUAGCAAAUGGGAUUAGAUACCCCAGUAGUCCUAGCUGUAAACAAUGGAUACUAGAUGUUGGACACGAUCGACCUGUGCAGUAUCAAAGCUAACGCUUAAGU
rnacentral:rRNA from 1 species